UGUCUGUUUGUUAGAUCAUAAAGUGGGUUCCCUUUAUGCAAAUUUGAGUUAUGUGUCAUUUUCCAGGAACGCGCUUGCAGCAUAAAGCAAGGGUAACCUGUAUAGGCUAUGGAAGGGAAGGAGUAUUAGAUGCUGCAGAGCUACAAGCUCGGAUCUGGAAUUCUACGCAGUUUUCAGGUCCCGGGGGUCUCCUCUUCUGACCCUGUUUGUUGUCAAGCAUUUGACAUGGAUGAACACCAGUACUUCAUAAAUUACAUGUAGCUCUUCUGGCUGAGAACAUCAGGGAGACCUAAUGUGCAUCAUGUUAAUGAUAACAAUGAAGAUACUUUAUUUUUUUUAACUGCACUAUGCUUUUCAUCCAAGUGAAUCCUAAUCAGGACACCUUUAUUUAGGACAUAAUUUAUAGUUUUACAAUCAGGUUAACUAGCACAAUUCCUCUGCUUUUGUACCAUUUUUGAUUAAAGUCAAAGGCAUAGCUA